rnacentral:rRNA from 1 species
GACGAACGCUGGCGGCGUGCUUAACACAUGCAAGUCGAACGGAAAGGCCCUGCUUUUGUGGGGUGCUCGAGUGGCGAACGGGUGAGUAACACGUGAGUAACCUGCCCUUGACUUUGGGAUAACUUCAGGAAACUGGGGCUAAUACCGGAUAGGAGCUCCUGCUGCAUGGUGGGGGUUGGAAAGUUUCGGCGGUUGGGGAUGGACUCGCGGCUUAUCAGCUUGUUGGUGGGGUAGUGGCUUACCAAGGCUUUGACGGGUAGCCGGCCUGAGAGGGUGACCGGCCAAAUUGGGACUGGGAUACGGCCCAGACCCCUACGGGGGGCAGAAGUGGGGAAUAUUGCACAAGGGGCGGAGGCCGGAGGCACAAACGCCGGGGGGGGGAGGACGGCCUUGGGGUUGGAAACCGCUUUCGCCUGGGACGAAGGGUGAGGGACGGGAAUGGGUAAAGAAGCACCGGCUAACUACGG